rnacentral:rRNA from 1 species
AUGACCACGCAGCAGAACCAACACGCGGAAGCAGCAUCCCGCCAACCCUCGCUCCACUCGCCGGGCUCGUCCACUGGCUCUGCCAACUCCGCGCCAUGGCACCACCGUGCUCUGACCACGCCGCCCCUGCUCCCGUUCGACACCAACGAUGCCGACGAGAUGCUCCUUCUCCACAUGCUCUCAGAGCACCAGCAGGACACGCACAAGGCCGUGGCGGCGCCGGUGAAGCGAGAGGAAGCAGGUCACCAAAACGGCGUGCGGGUGUGGCUGGGCACCUUCGACAGCCCGGAAGCUGCGGCACUGGCCUACAACCAAGCUGCGUUCGCCAUCCGCGGCGGGGCCGCCGUGCUCAACUUCCCUGCCGACCAGGUCAGGCGCUCUCUCGAGGGCGCCGUCGCCGACGUGUGUGGCCGUGCCCACGGCGUUUCGCCCGUGCUGGCGCUCAAGCGGCGGCACUCCAUGCGUAGCCGGAAGGCCAUGACGACAGGCAUGAAGUCGAAGGCCGCCACCCGGGGGACGCAGCCAGAGGGCAUGGUGAUGGAGCUUGAGGACCUUGGUGCGGAGUACCUGGAGCAGCUGCUCGGCGCCUCAGAGGACAGCGCCACCAUCACCAUGGAUUCAUGGUGCUGGAGCCACCACUCCAUGACUUGA